ACUACGGGAGGCUGCAGUGAGGAAUAUUGGUCAAUGGGCGCGAGCCUGAACCAGCCAAGUAGCGUGAAGGAUGACUGCCCUACGGGUUGUAAACUUCUUUUAUAAAGGAAUAAAGUGAGGCACGUGUGCCUUUUUGUAUGUACUUUAUGAAUAAGGAUCGGCUAACGCCGGGCCAGCAGCCGCGGUAAUACGGAGGAUCCGAGCGUUAUCCGGAUUUAUUGGGUUUAAAGGGAGGGUAGAUGGGUUGUUAAGUAAGUUGUGAAAGUUUGUGGCUCAACCGUAAAAUUGCAAUGGAUACUGGCAGCCUUGAGUACAGUGGAGGUAGGCGGAAUUCGUGGUGUAGCGGUGAAAUGCUUAG
rnacentral:rRNA from 1 species